GUAGUCCACGCUGUAAACGAUGAGUGCUAGAUGUUGGUGGAGGAAUCCAUCAGUGUCGCAGCUAACGCAUUAAGCACUCCGCCUGGGGAGUACGGUCGCAAGAUUAAAACUCAAAGGAAUUGACGGGGGCUCGAACAAGCGGUGGAGUAUGUGGUUUAAUUCGAAGCAACGCGAAAAACCUUACCAGCUCUUGACAUGGGAAUUAAGGGGGCCAGAGAUGGCCCCUGUCGGUUCGGCCGGAUUCCACACAGGUGCUGCAUGGCUGUCGUCAGCUCGUGUCGUGAGAUGUUGGGUUAAGUCCCGCAACGAGCGCAACCCUCAUCAUUAGUUGCCAUCAGGUUUGGCUGGGCACUUUAAUGAAACUGCCGGUGAUAAGCCGGA
rnacentral:rRNA from 1 species